rnacentral:rRNA from 1 species
CCCUUAGAUGUCCUGGGCUGCACGCGCGCUACACUGAUGUGUCCAGUAAGCACCUAACCUCUUCCGAAAGGAACGGGUAACCUUUGCAAAGCACAUCGUGAUGGGGAUAGAUUAUUGCAAUUAUUAGUCUUGAACGAGGAAUUCCUAGUAAGCACAAGUCAUCAGCUUGUGUUGAUUACGUCCCUGCCCUUUGUACACACCGCCCGUCGCUCCUACCGAUUGAAUGGUCCGGUGAAUUAUUCGGACUGCAACGCGUUCAGCUUCUGGAUGCAGUUGCGGAAAGUUUUGUAAACCUUAUCACUUAGAGGAAGGAGAAGUCGUAACA